rnacentral:lncRNA from 1 species
AUGGCCAAGUCCAGCCUCGCGGGCGUUGACGGGGCGCUGACCUGGGUGAACAAUGCUGCAAAAAAGGAAGAGUUGGAGACAGCGAACAAAAAUGAUUCUUCCAAGAAGUUGUCUGUUGAGAGAGUGUACCAGAAGAAGACCCAACUGGAGCAUAUUCUCCUUCGUCCUGAUACAUACAUUGGAUCAGUGGAACCACUGACACAGUUAAUGUGGGUGUAUGACGAAGAUGUAGGCAUGAACUGCAGAGAGGUUACCUUUGUUCCGGGCUUAUACAAGAUCUUUGAUGAAAUUUUGGUCAAUGCUGCUGACAACAAGCAGAGGGAUAAGAACAUGACCUGUAUUAAGGUUUCUAUUGAUCCUGAAUCUAAUAUUAUAAGCAUUUGGAAUAAUGGAAAAGGCAUUCCAGUAGUAGAACACAAAGUAGAGAAAGUUUAUGUUCCUGCUUUAAUUUUUGGACAGCUUUUAACAUCGAGUAAUUAUGAUGAUGAUGAGAAAAAAGUUACAGGAGGCCGUAAUGGUUAUGGUGCAAAACUUUGUAAUAUUUUUAGUACAAAGUUUACAGUAGAAACGGCUUGCAAAGAAUACAAACAUAGUUUUAAGCAGACAUGGAUGAAUAAUAUGAUGAAGACUUCUGAAGCCAAAAUCAAACAUUUUGAUGGGGAAGAUUAUACAUGCAUAACAUUCCAGCCAGAUCUAGCCAAGUUUAAGAUGGAAAAACUUGACAAGGACAUUGUGGCCCUCAUGACCAGAAGGGCAUACGAUUUAGCUGGUUCCUGCAAAGGCGUCAAGGUCAUGUUCAAUGGCAAGAAGUUGCCUGUAAAUGGAUUUCGCAGCUAUGUAGACCUUUAUGUGAAAGACAAAUUGGAUGAAACUGGGGUCGCUCUCAAAGUUAUUCAUGAACUUGCAAAUGAAAGAUGGGAUGUUUGUCUAACCUUGAGUGAAAAAGGUUUCCAGCAGAUCAGCUUUGUGAAUAGUAUUGCAACUACAAAAGGUGGGACGGCACGUGAUUACGUAGUAGAUCAAUUGUUGGUAAACUGAUUGAAGUAGUUAAGAAAAAGAACAAAGCUGGGUGUAUCAGUGAAGCCAUUUCAAGUAAUGAUGCUUUUAUGUGUUCCGCUAAAUUACCCACUUUCUUCUUCCCCAAUCUUCAAACUAAGGAAAACAUGACUCUGCAGCCCAAGAGCUUUGGGUCUAAAUGCCAGCUGUCAGAAAAGUUCUUUAAAGCGGCCUCUAAUUGUGGCAUUGUAGAAAGCAUAUUGAACUGGGUGAAAUUUAAGGCUCAGACUCAGCUGAAUAAGAAGUGCUCCUCAGUAAAGUACAGCAAAAUCAAAGGCAUUCCCAAACUGGAUGAUGCCAAUGAUGCUGGUGGCAAACAUUCCCUGGAGUGUACAUUAAUAUUAACAGAGGGGGACUCUGCCAAAUCUCUAGCUGUCUCUGGAUUAGGUGUGAUUGGGAGAGACAGAUAUGGAGUCUUCCCUCUCAGGGGUAAAAUUCUCAAUGUACGAGAAGCGUCUCAUAAACAGAUUAUGGAAAAUGCAGAAAUAAACAAUAUUAUUAAAAUAGUUGGUUUGCAAUACAAGAAAAGUUAUGAUGAUGCAGAAUCUCUGAAAACUUUACGUUAUGGGAAGAUUAUGAUUAUGACUGAUCAGGAUCAAGAUGGUUCUCACAUUAAAGGCCUGCUAAUCAAUUUUAUUCAUCACAAUUGGCCAUCACUUUUGAAGCAUGGCUUUCUUGAAGAAUUCAUUACUCCCAUUGUAAAGGCGAGCAAAAAUAAGCAGGAACUUUCCUUUUAUAGUAUUCCUGAAUUUGAUGAGUGGAAAAAACAUAUAGAAAACCAGAAAGCCUGGAAAAUAAAGUACUACAAAGGAUUGGGUACCAGUACAGCUAAGGAAGCCAAGGAAUAUUUUGCUGAUAUGGAAAGGCAUCGCCAUUUUGUUUAGAUAUGCUGGCCCUGAGGAUGAUGCUGCCAUUACCCUUGAGCGCUUGUGUGAGGAGUGUUCUUUUUCACGUGCUGAACUUUGGUUUUAUUAUACGUAUAAUAAAACCAAAGUUCAGACACGUGAAAAAGAACACUCCUCACACACAGCCUCUGGAGGGACGCACAGCAGAAGGGAGAGACACAGAGUUGUCUUCAUUCACGACAACUCACCAAAGGUAAUGGCAGCAUCAUCCUCAGUGCCAGCAUAUCUAAACAAAAUGGCGAUGCCUUUCCAUAUUCAGCAAAAUAUUCCUUGGGCUUCCUUAGCGUGUACUGGGAAAGAAAACGGACAACCCAAACAUGUGCCUCAUGACUUAAAUAUAGUAAUGCUACAUACUAAUAAUCGUUUCUCAAACAUGAGAUUGUUUCAUAUUAAAGUAAUGGGAAAAUUUAAGAUGUGGCAAAUUUACACAGAACAGUUAUCUCCAGAGUUAUUAUUUACCUUUGUAUUUGCAUUUAUAUUUUUAAUUUUCAAUUUUAUUGAACAACUGCUUCACAGGGGUCACCUAACACCAUCGGAAAGCACAGAUAUUUAUCCUGUGAUCCAUAAUAGCAGCAACAUUACAAAUUGGAUGAGUAGGGUUCACCGCAGCAUUGUGAAGUUGAGAAGCAUUGCAUUAGUGGGUGCUUCUUUUAAUUCAUAUAAAAAGGAGAUUGUAUGUUUGUUUCACAUCAGUUUCAGUUGCUAUGACUCGAAGUGCUCCACUAGGUCUAGCCAUGUCAGCCUCCCUCACCUAAGACUUAGAGAGCGUCGUGGUGUAUACAAGGAGCAGGUCCUAGAACCUAUGCUUAAUGGAACAGAUAAAACACCAGCACUGAUUUCUGAUUACAAAGAAUAUCACACUGAUACAACUGUGAAAUUUGUGGUGAAGAUGACAGAAGAGAAGCUCGCCCAAGCGGAAGCUGCCGGCCUGCAUAAAGUUUUUAAACUCCAAACCACUCUUACUUGCAAUUCCAUGGUACUCUUUGAUCAUAUGGGAUGUCUGAAGAAGUAUGAAACUGUGCAAGACAUUUUGAAAGAAUUCUUUGAUUUACGGUUAAGUUAUUAUGGUUUACGGAAGGAGUGGCUUGUAGGAAUGUUGGGAGCAGAAUCCACAAAGCUUAACAAUCAAGCCCGUUUCAUUUUAGAGAAGAUACAAGGGAAAAUCACGAUAGAGAAUAGGUCAAAGAAAGAUUUGAUUCAAAUGUUAGUCCAGAGAGGUUAUGAAUCUGACCCAGUGAAAGCCUGGAAAGAAGCACAAGAAAAGGCUUGCGGAAAGGAGGAAGAUGCACAAAACCCACAUGACAGUGUCGUCAUGACUCGGAAUCCUUCAGGCCUUGAUUUUAAUUAUAUUUUAAAUAUGUCUCUAUGGUCUCUUACUAAAGAAAAAGUUGAAGAACUCAUUAAACAGAGAGAUACAAAAGGACGAGAGGUUAAUGAUCUCAAAAGGAAAAUCUCCCUCAGAUCUUGAAAGAAGAUUUAGCAGCAUUUGUUGAAGAAUUGGAUUAUAAAGUGGAAGCACAAGAACGAGAAGACAUUCUGGCAGGGAUGUCUGGGAAAGCAGUGAAAGGCAAAGUCGGCAAAGCUAAAGUAAAGAAGCUCCAGCUGGAGGAGACGAUGCCCUCGCCUUACGGGAGAAGAAUCGUUCCUGAGAUUACUGCCAUGAAGGCAGACGCCAGCAGAAAACUGCUGAAGAAGAAGAAGGGUGAUCCUGAUACUACAGUUGUGAAAGUAGAAUUUGAUGAAGAAUUUAGUGGAACACCAGCAGAAGGUACAGGAGAAGAGACAUUGACACCAUCUGCUCCUGUAAAUAAAGGCCCCAAACCCAAAAGGGAGAAAAAGGAGCCUGGUACCAGGGUUAGAAAAACACCUGCAUCAACUGGCAAACCUAAUACAAAGAAAGUGAAGAAGCGGAAUCCUUGGUCAGAUGAUGAGUCCAAAUCAGAGAGUGACUUGGAAGAAGCAGAGCCUGUGGUUAUCCCAAGAGAUUCUUUGCUUAGGAGAGCAGCUGCUGAAAGACCUAAGUACACUUUUGAUUUCUCAGAAGAGGAGGAGGAUGAUGCUGAUGAUGAUGACGACAAUAAUGAUUUAGAAGAAUUGAAAGUUAAAGCAUCUCCCAUAACAAAUGAUGGGGAGGAUGAAUUUGUUCCUUCAGAUGGCAUAGAUAAAGAUGAGUAUGCCUUUUCUCCAGGCAAAUCCAAAGCUACACCAGAAAAAUCUUCACAUGACAAAAAAAGUCAGGAUUUUGGAAAUCUUUUUUCAUUUCCUUCAUAUUCUCAGAAGUCAGAAGAUGAUUCAGCUAAAUUUGACAGUAAUGAAGAAGACACCACAUCUGUUUUUGCACCAUCAUUUGGUCUGAAGCAAACAGAUAAAGUUCCAAGUCAAACAGUCGCUGCUAAAAAGGGUAAAGCACCUUCAGAUGCAGCAGCCCCUAAGGCCAAGAGAGCCCCUAGACAGAGGAAGGUAGUAGAGCCUGCAAACUCCGACUCGGAUUCUGAACUCGGCAACAUUCCAAAGAAGACGGCCGCACCGAAAGGUAAAGGCCGAGGGGCAAAGAAAAGGAAAGCAUCAGGCUCAGAAAAUGAAGGUGAUUAUAACCCUGGCAGGAAACCAUCUAAAACAGCCAGCAAGAAACCGAAGAAAACGUCUUUUGAUCAGGAUUCAGAUGUAGACAUCUUCCCUUCAGACUUCACUUCUGAACCACCUGCUCUCCCACGGACUGGUCGGGCUAGGAAAGAAGUAAAAUAUUUUGCAGAGUCUGAUGAAGAAGAAGACGUUGAUUUUGCAAUGUUUAAUUAA